GGCGUUGUGUAAUGGUAAGACCCUUGCCUUCCAAGCAAGAGAUGCGGGUUCGAUUCCCGCCGCCC
rnacentral:tRNA from 2 species